AACGAACGCUGGCGGCAUGCCUAACACACGCAAGUCGAACGAGAUCUUCGGGUCUAGUGGCGCACGGGUGCGUAACGCGUGGGCAUCUGCCCUUUGGUUCGGAAUAACAGUUGGAAACGACUGCUAAUACCGGAUGAUGACGAAAGUCCAAAGAUUUAUCGCCAGGGGAUGCGCCCGCGUAGGAUUUGCUAGUUGGUGUGGUAAAGGCGCACCAAGGCGACGAUCCUUCGCUGGCCUGGGAGGAUGAUCAGCCACACGGGGACUGUUACACGGCGCAGACUCCAUCGGGAGGCAGAAUUGGACAAGAUUGGACAACGGGCGAAAGCCUGUUCCACCAAUGCCGCGUAAGUGAUGAACGGCUUAGGGUUGUAAAGCUCCUUUCCCGGGGAUGAUAAUGACAUUACCGGUAGAAUAAGCUCCCGAUAUCUCCGAUCAACCCGCCGCCGUAA
rnacentral:rRNA from 1 species